CGUGUUAUAUGCCUUUAUUGUCGCCAGAAUUUAUUAUUGCCGCCGCAUUGUGCAGCAGGUGUAUUUUUAGCGGUAGAAAUGACAAGCCCGAAUCAGUAUUCGGGCUUUUUUUAUUGCUGGGG
rnacentral:sRNA from 1 species